AUGAACAUGUACCACGCUGCACCUUGGUCCUCACCUUCUUCCACCAACGGCCGUUCCAGAACUACCCACCACCAAAAAAGGACCAAGCAGCGUGGUAACAAGGAGCAGAGGGUUCUGGACUCCUGGACUUGGGAGGAGAUACUAGAUGGUAAGGGACCCUGGAGUCAGGCUGGGGAAUAUCACUGCCCCAAAGAAGAACUUGAGGCAGCGAAAGCUGAGCGGAGGCGAUAUAAGGUAAGGCAGUGCAACAGGCACGAGAGGCAGCCCCCAAAUUUUUUUUGGGGGGGGCACACGGGGAGAUUGGGGGAGUCAGGCGAUAGACUUGAGCCAACUCCCCGUGCUUACCGGGAGAGGCGUAGUACUGGUCAAGCACCGUGUUAUGCGGUGAAGCGCACGGUGUCGCCAGUGCAUGCACAAAGCCCGGAGCGCUAUAGGCCAGCCCCCCGCAAGUGCCAUGCGAGAGUGGGCAUCCAGCAAGGGCAUAUUGUGCCAGGGGGCGUAUUGCUUCCAGAGUCUCCCUCCUGUCCUGAGCCCCAGAGUCUCCCUCCUGUCCUGAGCCGCCAGAGUCUCCCUCCUGUCCGGAGCCGCCAGAGUCUCCCUCCUGUCCAGAGCCGCCAGAACCGCCCUCCUGUCCGGAGCCGCCAGAGCCGCCCGUCAGUCAGGAGCCGCCGUCAUUCAGGAGCUGCCAGAGCCGCCCGUGAGUCAGGAGCUGCCAGAGCCACCCGUGAGUCAGGAGCUGCCAGAGCCGCCCGUCAGUCAGGAGCUGCCAGAGCCGCCCUUCACUCCGGAGCUGCCAGAAUCGCAGCCCCUCAGUCCAGAGGCGCCCCUCGGUCCAGAGGCGCCCCUCGGUCCAGAGGCGCCCCUCAGUCCAGAGGCGCCCCUCAGGCCAGUGGCGCCCGUCAGUCAGGAGCUGCCAGAGCCGCCCUUCACUCCGGAGCUGCCAGAAUCGCAGCCCCUCAGUCCAGAGGCGCCCCUCGGUCCAGAGGCGCCCCUCGGUCCAGAGGCGCCCCUCGGUCCAGAGGCGCCCCUCAGUCCAGAGGCGCCCCUCAGGCCAGUGGCGCCCUCUACGAGGGUCUUCAGUCCGGGGCCCGCUGUGAGGGUCCACGCUCCAGAGGCGCCACCUAA
rnacentral:lncRNA from 13 species